ensembl:lncRNA
AUGCACAUCCAGCCGACACACUGGCUCUAAUCCCUGCUCCUUUGACGCACUCAUUUUCUGGUUUUUCACAAAGGCCGACUGUGCUCCCAGCAGCUGCAGCUGGUCAGGGCCCCAGGGAGGCUGUGGGAAGGGUCGCGGGGACGCUGGCAGCUGCGGGAAAAGACUCUGAGCACCUGUCCCUCUCCUCUGGGUGCUCGCCCCUCCCCCGGCCUAUGCAUUUUCCUGCCGAGGUGCAGUGGUCGGUGAGGGGAAGGGAGGGCAUGGGGGAGCUCGCGCUGCGGCCCAGUGGACUAGGGAGGCGGGUUGCAUCCCCUGCCGGGGAUCUGACAUCGGAUCGGAUCCUGACCCCAGGAACUUCCAUGUGCCAUGGGUGCAGCCAUAAAGCAACAACAGCAGCAGCAGCAGCAGCAGCAGCAACAAGAACAAGAGCAUCUGCUUUCAGACAGUCACACCCAAGGCCCUCUGUGAGCAAUAGAAUCCUUACAGCAACCAAAAGUCUUAGAGAAAUGCCUGCCCUGAAUGGAGGGAGCCACAGAUGGGGAUCUUGGGAGGCUUUUAAGUGGGACAAAGAAAGGACGUCUUGUUCAGUCUUCUCUUGGCCUGAAAAAUUAAGGCACCGUCUCCUCAUUCAUCAGGUGAGACAACUGGGGCGCAGAGGGCUGGACUCUCGUCCAAGAUCUGAUGACUAGUAAGUGCAGGAGACUCCCCUCCAAGAACCUGGUCCUCUUGGAAGAAGGUAGGAGGUAAUCGGACCCCAUGUGCUGUACCUGGAGGGGCAUGGUGGGAGGCUACUGCCAUUGUUCAGGGAGAGUAGAGGAAGGGCUGAAUGGAGGUGGUGGGUGGAGUGCAAGAAAGGGUGGGGAUGGUCAGAGGAAGGAGGCCUCGGACUAGACGGCUGAUUGGCUGGGAGGCAGGGGGAAGCGGAACCUAGCGCGACUUGGGGGUGUGGUCAAUAUGGUGCCUUUACUGAAGAGGGUUGCUGCACAGGAGGCAAAGGAGGUCUUAUGGGAAAUCUGGCAGGUGGCAGCUGUAAAAUAAAGCUCAUGCAGUUGAUGGUAACACCCAGCAUGGCUGUAUGCUUUGAAAUCCCCCCCACAGUUUGAAAUCUCUGAGCAAUAUUUCUGCUCCAUCCCUCUGCAGCUGUGCUCAAGCCAAGGACCACAGGACUGUCCUUGCUCCUCUUUCUCUGCCAGCCCUCAGGGGGCCUGCGAUGUCCCUUUAGGUCCUCUGCAGACUUUGCACAAACAGGGAUUCCAGCACAACUACAGAUGGGCUGAGAAAGCCAGCACCCAGGGGCUAUAAGGAGGAAGAACAGGAGUCUGAAGUGGUCUCUUGGCACACCGGCUAGGGGGCAGGGAGCAUAGGGCAUAGGAGGAGGGGUAGGGUAAGUGACUGCUCCUCCCAGCUUAACUCACCAGGAGCCCAGCCCAAGGCCAAGAGCUUCGUGCAGAUGGACACUCAAAAGAUCAGGAAUUUACCUGAUUCACCUUGCAAACACUAACUUUAUGCCAAUUUACAUGUUCCACGUUAAUUAGCUUUCCUAAUAACAAUGUGCCCUAGAGUGCUUGGAAGUUACUGUGGCUAGGGGCAAGAAUAUUUCCUUGUUCUGGGUAAGAGGUAUUCCCAAACACAUCACUUGGUGAACAAAGGGGUCUAGUCAUAAACUUCUCAACAGCAGCCGCAGAGGAGGAACCAGCAGCAAGGUAAUGCAAUUAUGCAAUGAAUUGUGAAUACAUCCCAUUCAGUCAGACUUCCUUAAAUGGCUCCUAGCCCAGGUUUUCCAAAGUUUGUAACCUACUCUUAAGAUCACCUUGACCUUUUCAAAUCUCAGGGGCAUAAUGAGUUUUUAUGGGUUGGACUGGAUUUCUUCAAAAAGUGCUGAAGUCCUAACCCCUAGUUCCUGUGAAAGUGACUUUAUUUUGAAACAGGAUCUUUGCAGAUGUUCAAGUUAAGAUGAGGUCUUUGGGGAGGGGGUUUAAUACAGUAUGACUGGUGUCCUUUCAAAGAGGGGAUCUUUGAACACAGAGAAGCACAGAGGGAACUGAGGGGGUGGAAGGAGUGGGGGGAUGUCCAUUUACAAGUAAAGGAAAGAGACUCUACUUUUCUCCUGCCCCUCAGAAGGAACCAACCCUGCCAACACCUUGAUUUCAGGCUUCCAGCCUCUAGGAACCUGGAAAUCUAAACUCUUGUCUAAGCCACCCCGUUCGGGGUGAUUUCUUACGGCAGCCCUAGCAAACUAAUACAUAGGCUAUCUCAACAUCUGAAUUCCUAGAAUCCACCAUUUCCAUAUCUGGUCUGUGGAUGGACUGGAAAAGAAUUUCCAGACUCAGAGUGAUGUAAUGAGAAAGAUGAUUUUAUUGAGGCAAAAAACUCUGCUAGGGCAGUGUGUCCACUUCCUGAUAAUCAGGAAGAGCCAGCCCCAAGUGUGUGAUCAUGUCUUUUUAUAGCCCAGGGACAAAGAAGAAAGGAGAGGUCUUACUAUACACCUGCUGACCUGCAGAUUGGUUGGGGAAAGUGGGAUCUUACGAUAUGCUUGCUACCAGUUGAUUCCCCAACCAAUCAGCAGGUGCAUAGUAAGGUUAUAGUAUAUAUGGUUGGGGCGCAUAAUGCCCCUAUAGGGGCAGGGUGAGGAGUUGGCCAAAUACCUUUCCUAAUAUAGGGCAAGGGGAAGUAGGCCAGGCUGCUGAUAGGGGAGCUCAAGGACUUUGUAACAGUUGCAAAGAGACUGGUGGGGGAUAAGGGUCUGAUGAUUUUUAUCCCUGCCAGAGGCUCUUUGAGUUUAUCUCGUUGGAAAGUUCUUGAAGUCCCACGGGCUGGAAAACUAUAAUGGCUGCAGGCUGAGGUCCAUCAAUUAUACAAGAGUGAAAGGAAGCUAUGGGUCAACUGGAGAUCAGAGUCAGGGCAAAAGAUCGUGCUUGUGCUGAACAAAGCUGGUGGGGGCAGGUGGGAGAAGAAGCAAAGUGGCAUUUUGGUCAUGCUUCCUGGUGGGAUGGCCCUGCAAGCAGCCAGGCUUGCUUCCUGGAGCCCAAUGUCCUGGGGUACGUCCUCCAAGGGGGUCCAGCUCACGCCAGUUUCCUGCUCUGUCUGAUCAUCAGAGUCACUGGAGUUCUUGUCCAAAAUGCAGUUCCUAAGGCGCCACCAGGCCCACACAAUCAGACCCCAGAGGGCCUGGCUGGAGAUGGGCCAGUAAAUAGACGUCUUCCAGGGAAGUGGCUACUUUGUGUCCUUUGUGCAGUGAACAGAGGCUUAACCUCUCUUCUGCCAAAGAAAAUGCUACUGCAAAGUUGCAAGCUCCCAGGAGAGCCUCCAUCUGAGGCAGGCUAUUUUCAGAAUUCUGUGCCUCUCUGUUAAUUUUGUUAAUCAUUAAUGUGGUAUUUUAUAAAACUGGCAUGGUUCCUUUUCUCUCCAGUUAUGAAACCUGGCUAUUUCCUAUGCAUCCUUUCAUUCUUUGCUGAGCCAAUUAACAUAACUUGUUCAAUACGAAUUUAGACGGCAGUGGAGUACAUCAAAUCGGUACACAUGCUGCGUUUUAAAAUAAAAUUUACUUCAGCUUAAAGUAAUGAGAAACAACAGCAUGAUACCCUGAGACUAGUCAUUUAGCCAGAAAUGAUGUUCUCAUGUCACAUAUUUGUUUUCUCACUUUCUAAAUAGAAGCCAUGGUAAUCAGAGCUGCCUUGCUCUGGGCAAGAUUAAGCUGACGUUAAUAAGCAGUACCUUCACUCCGACAUACUGUGUGGUAGCAAGGGGAGGGAAACUGUUAAUAACUCAACAGUAUUUUGGAUAAAACUAAAGAAAAUAUUGGGUAAAGAUGACAAAGACCAAAAUAGGAAACUGUGUACGGCCAGGUAAGGUGAAACAUGAUGCUACGAAAGGAGACAGGAAAAGGAGUCGAGAAUUCAGCUUUGCAUCCCAAUUCGGGCCAACAUGUGAACUACCCUUAUCACUAUUUUACCUUUUAGAAAAAAAUCUGAAUAGGAAGGGCUAGAUGAGAGAAUGUUUGUAAUAUUGGGUAGCAUAAGACUGUCUCAGAGCCAUCAGUAUUGCAUCUUAGCUUCUUUUGUAAUUAAAAAGAAUAGGCAGCUCUUACGAGGGUAGUACCUAUUUUGGGAAAUGACUGAGAGUCAUCCUUCAUUAACCUCAUGUAGGGUGUUAGAGUCUUCCAGCAGGGUAGUGACAAUUGCUCACAGCCAGAUCUUCACUCCCUAGUGGUCGUUGGUGGACCACCAGCCCUGGCAUGACCUGGGAGCAGGAAGAGGCGCAGAAGCUCUGGUCCUCCCUGCAGAUGCACUGGACCAGAACCUGCAUUUUAACCAGGUUUCCAGGUGGCUUCUAUGCAUGUUAGAGCUGAGACACCUUGCCCUUGACCCCUGCGUGGGGGAAGGUUAAGGAGUGCUUUGUUGGCUUAUAGAGAAAUAGAAGUAUUCCUGGGAAUAUAAUAAAUAUGUAUGUAUGUAUAUAUAACAGCAUAACGUAAUACAGUAGGACACAGCAUAGCAUAACAUAGCACAACACAGCAAAACAUACAGAGUCCAUCAAUUUCUAAUUUGGUGACAUACUCAUCUUUUAAAAAGCAAAGGGACAGUUCUCAGAAGAUGGCAACACGAUGUUUAGGUCUUUCUGAAUCCCACGUGUAAACAGACAUCUGGAAGGCAAAACUGAAGUGGAUAGAAAACAUUUACAGCAAAGCUAGGGAACAAAUAUUCCAAGAGUCUCCAAAAUUCAGUCAAGGGGACAUGUUACCAAAGCCACAAGGUCUAGGCGGAAUCAGGAUCUGUGGGGUUGAAACAGAGGGAAGGAACUGAGUGGCCAAUGACCUCAGCAAAGAAGAAUUCACCAAAUAGCCGACGGGCCUUCGCUGGACGGCAUGGCAGGACAAUUUGAGAAAAAUAGGUUAAACGAGAAUCUAUCCGUAUAAAUGCUCAGGGCCCCUGGUGGGGACUGACUGGGAUGAGAAGCCUGGUCUCUAUAAACGUCUGAAGCUAAGCAGCCCAAGUUCCCUUUCAGAAUAGGGUCCCCCGCUGAGGAGAAACCUCUGAGCAGAAUCAAAACGAGCAGGAUAAAGACAUGGGGAUGAAGUGGAAGAUCAUUUUGAUAAAAAUAGGAGAGGGAAGCAAAGCCAGAAGAAUCUCAGAAAGCAACUCUUUCUCAUAUAUAUUUCACACUAUAUAUAAUAUAUAAAAUAUAUACAUAUGUUUCAUGCUGUAUGAUAACAAUUCUUAAAAUUCAGCAUAAGCAAAUUACCACAAAGAUGAGCAACACAAAAACAUAAGGUCAGAUUCUGCACAAAGUUACUAUAAAAAAAGAAGAAAUUAAGAAUAACAUCCUAAACUCAACACCUAUACUAAAGACAAAGCUAAAAAUAAAUAGAUCAAAAAUGUAACAUGCCUUUUCAAAAUGAGCUCAGAGAUAUUAAGAAAAUGAUACAAGAUAUAAAUGAGAAAAACUCAGAGUGCAGUCACAUAAGAAAGAAUUAGCAAUAAAAAGGAAAAUAAUUUUAUUAUGAAGACUAAGAAAACAAGAGCAAACAACUACAACAGGCACUGCCUUUGGAAAAUGGGAAGUGGAAAAGACUUUAAAACAAAAAGAAAUGAAGGAGUUCCCAUCGUGGCUCAGCAGAAACGAAUCUAAGAACCAUGAGAUCGUGGGUUCGAUCCCUGGCCUUGCUCAGUGGGUUAAGGAUCUGGUAUUGCCAUGAGCUGUGGUGUAGGUGGCAGACUCGGCUUGGAUCUGGCG